UUAGGGGUGGUGUAAUUGGUAACAUGGUGGGCUCAUGACCCGCUGUUGUAGGUUCGAGUCCUGCCCCCUUUUCCU
rnacentral:tRNA from 1 species